ACUCCUACGGGAGGCAGCAGUGGGGAAUCUUGCGCAAUGGGCGAAAGCCUGACGCAGCGACGCCGCGUGCGGGAAGAAGGCCUUCGGGUUGUAAACCGCUUUCAGGAGGGACGAAGCCACUCGGGUUAAUAGCCCAGAGGGUGACGGUACCUCCAGAAGAAGCCCCGGCUAACUACGUGCCAGCAGCCGCGGUAAUACGUAGGGGGCGAGCGUUGUCCGGAUUUAUUGGGCGUAAAGAGCGUGUAGGCGGCCAGGUAGGUCAGCUGUGAAAACUCGAGGCUUAACCUCGAGACGCCGGCUGAAACCAUCUGGCUAGAGUCCGGAAGAGGAGAAUGGAAUUCCUGGUGUAGCGGUGAAAUGCGCAGAUAUCAGGAAGAACACCCGUGGCGAAGGCGGUUCUCUGGGGCGGUACUGACGCUGAGACGCGAAAGCGUGGGGAGCGAACAGGAUUAGAUACCCUGGUAG
rnacentral:rRNA from 1 species